UCUUAUCUCGUCAACCAACCUUGGAUGUUCUGCUACAUUGUCAAUAGAUGACUAUUGAAUAUAAAUUCUUGGCCCAGGACGAUUUUCCUCACACCACUGCAUCCGUAUUACUGUGACCUUGAGCCUACAGAUAUACAAUGGCGGAGGUAGAUAGUUGCUGGCUGGAAAUAGUACGGAAAGGGGCGAUCAUCCGGGUACCAGAAAGCACAUCGCUUAAAAUAAUUUUGAUAUAAGCAAAACUCGCUUAAUGAAAAAUAUAAGUGGCCCAGGCCGGUUUUCCUCACCCCAUUGGCUUCGUUCUGCUAGUAUUAGUAAAUGACCAUGUAAGCCUAAUGUUGGGUCUAUGAUGAACAAAGAGGACCGCCAGGUAAAUUGAG